GACGAACGCUGGCGGCGCGCCUAACACAUGCAAGUCGAGCGAAGCGGCGAACGGGUGAGUAACGCGUGAGGAACCUGCCUCUCACAACGGGAUAGCCUCGGGAAACCGGGAUUAAUACCGUAUGGUGAGAGAUUGCCUCGCGUCUGAUUAGGUAGUUGGUGGGGUAACGGCCUACCAAGACGACGAUCAGUAACCGGCCGGUGAGUGGGAACGGUAACAUUGGAACUGAGACAAGGUCCAAACUCAUACGGGAGGUAGCAGUGGGGAAUCGUGCACAAUGGGGGGAACCCUGAUGCAGCGAAGCCGGGUGAGCGAUGAAGGUUUUCGAAUCGUAAAGCUCUGUCCUAUGGGAAGCGGUACCUUAGGAGGAAGCCCCGGCUAACUACGUGCCAGCCGCCGCGGGAAUAC
rnacentral:rRNA from 1 species